GAACGUGUUCCCUGGGGAACAGAGGACAGCUUCCCCGUGGACUGUCCCAGGCUGUAAACCUUGGUGGAGCAGGCUGUCAGGCCCUUUCUUCUGCUGAGCGGCUGGUGGCGGAAACCCAUCCGACUGCUACUAGCAAUAAAACGUGGGAAACCUGUCA